UACGGGGGGGGCAAGCGUUGUUCGGAAUUACUGGGCGUAAAGCGCACGUAGGCGGUUUGUUAUGUCGGAUGUGAAAGCCCUUGGCUCAACUGAGGAAGUGCAUCCGAAACUGGCAAGCUAGAGUAUGUAAGAGGGUCGCGGAAUUCCCGGUGUAGAGGUGAAAUUCGUAGAUAUCGGGAGGAACACCGGUGGCGAAGGCGGCGACCUGGGACAAUACUGACGCUGAGGUGCGAAAGCGUGGGGAGCAAACAGG
rnacentral:rRNA from 1 species